rnacentral:rRNA from 1 species
GACGAACGCUGGUGGCGUGCUUAACACAUGCAAGUCGAACGGUGAAGCUCCAGCUUGCUGGAGUGGAUCAGUGGCGAACGGGUGAGUAACACGUGAGCAACCUGCCCCUGACUCUGGAAUAAGCGCUGGAAACGGCGUCUAAUACUGGAUACGAGAAGGGUCCGCAUGGGCACUUUCUGGAAAGUUUUUCGGUUGGGGAUGGGCUCGCGGCCUAUCAGCUUGUUGGUGAGGUAAUGGCUCACCAAGGCGACGACGGGUAGCCGGCCUGAGAGGGCGACCGGCCACACUGGGACUGAGACACGGCCCAGACUCCUACGGGAGGCAGCAGUGGGGAAUAUUGCACAAUGGGCGAAAGCCUGAUGCAGCGACGCCGCGUGAGGGAUGACGGCCUUCGGGUUGUAAACCUCUUUUAGCAGGGAAGAAGCGAAAGUGACGGUACCUGCAGAAGAAGCACCGGCUAACUACGUG